UACGAAGGGGGCUAGCGUUGCUCGGAAUGACUGGGCGUAAAGGGCGCGUAGGCGGCCAACUAAGUCAGACGUGAAAUCCCUCAGCUUAACUGGGGAACUGCGUCUGAUACUGGAAGGCUUGAAUCCGGGAGAGGGAUGCGGAAUUCCAGGUGUAGCGGUGAAAUGCGUAGAUAUCUGGAGGAACACCGGUGGCGAAGGCGGCAUCCUGGACCGGCAUUGACGCUGAGGCGCGAAAGCCAGGGGAGCAAACGGG
rnacentral:rRNA from 1 species